CAUAUGCUUGUCUCAAAGCUUAAGCCAUGCAAGUCUAAGUUCAGGCUUGUUCCUUUCGGGGAGCGAGCCGAAACUGCGAACGGCUCAUUAGUCAGAUAAGGUUCCUUGGCGAAAAGCGGGUCGGUUUAAUGGAUAACUGUGGUAAUUCUAGAGCUAAUACAUGCAACGCACCGUGGUCCCCCCCUCCUUUCAUCCUGUGAGCGGGUGGGGGGAAACGGCAUUUAUUCUCUGGACCAGAUCGCCCUAGCCCGCGAAACUACCGUCAAAAGUAGCGACGGGGCGAAGCGACAAGUGUUGAAAUCCGAAUAACUGUGCCGAUCGCGGGGUCUUCCCGGGCCCCCGACGACUUUGCCAUGAAGUGUCUGUCCCAUCAAUUUGCGAUGGUCGGCGACCUGCCUACCACGGUGUUGACGGGUAACGGGGAAUCAGGGUUCGAUUCCGGAGAGGGAGCCUGCGAAACGGCUACCACCUCCAAGGAGGGCAGCAGGCGCGCAACUUACCCAAUCCCGACACGGGGAGGUAGUGACGAAAAAUAACGUGGCGGGGCCCUUUCGUGGUCGCCGCGGGCGGAAUGAGCGCAAUUUAAAAGAGUGUGCGAGGA
rnacentral:rRNA from 1 species